rnacentral:lncRNA from 1 species
GCCGUGGAGGAAUCCGCCCCAGCGAUCCCAGCGGUGCCGCCCCCCGCCCAAGCAAAAGCUGCCUUCGUCUUCUCGGUUGCCUCAAGGGCUCAAGACAGACAAAUAAAAUAACUUUAACAUUUUAAGAAUUAAGCCACGCAUUUUGAACUUGUCGCCGUUUCAUCCGGCUCACGCACGACGUUCCAUUUACCUGCGCACCGAGAGCACCCCACGCGCUUUGCCGCCCGGCGCUUCGGCCCCGCCGCGCUCCGCGGCCACAUCCGAGCGGCCCAGCGCAGCCCCGGCGGGUCCCGCCUCCGCCCCCGGCCCGCGGGCACCUGAGCGCGGCGGCUGCGCGGGGGGCGAGCGGGCGGGGCCGGCCCGGCCCGGCCCUCACAUGCGCGGCGCCGCGGGAGCCAUUGGCCGCCGCCCCGCCGGCCCCGCCGCCGCCGGCAGCCGGUGCUGUCCGCACGCCGAGCCAUGCGGGUGCGCGCUGCAGGACGCCGCUAGGAGCCCAGCCCGCCCCGCCUCUGCCCGCCCGCAUGGCAACGCCGCGGGACUGACCGCCGCCGAGAAGCUCUGUGCCCCCGCCGCUCGCACGGCUCGGUUUGGUUCGGCUCAGCUCGGUUCGGCCGGGCGGCUCUCGGGGACCGCAGCCCGCAGAGCCGGCCCUGAGGUAUGAUCCGAUCCAUGUUUCAGCCUGUUCUGGGAGUGGGAGGGUGGUGGUGAUGGACCUCAGCAGUCUUUCAGAUUGUGAUUCACCACUUGAAGAGAAGCUCUCCUGUUCUUCCAUACCUUACUAAGUGUGGUGAUGGUGCCGCUCAGCCUCUCCUGGCCCCUUUCCUUAAAUGCUGAUACAUUCUCAAAAAACACAGUCCUCCUACUUCGAAGGCGGCAACUGCCUUUGCCUGCUGUUUUCGGAAAUGGUUUGUUGCCUUUGGAGGCGGUGCUGAGGAGGGAUUGGAGGGCCUGGUGUGAACUCUGUGUAGGCCCUUCUUGCAUGGCUCUCUGACCUCAUGGAAAAAUAGAGUUACAGAAGCAGCCAAGGUGAAUGGCCCCGUGGCUGUGAGCAUUUUCUGUUAGACCUCAAGUAUGAUCCAAAGCUCUGUUCUGAAGCCUACUUGGAAGGCUUUCCAAAGGUAAACCUUUUGAAAGUAUCUAGUCACAAGUAUUUAAAAACCUAGAGUCUCUGAAAACUCCAGUUCUGCAUAAAAAGAUUUGCUUCUCUUGAGACCACUUGACUGCCCCAAGCCCUUUCAAGAAGAAAAGUCCAUGAGGCAUAUUUCAUUUGAGGAUUUGACAGUGCUUUCCCCAUCUCCUUAUUCUGGG